GUGGGGAAUAUUGGACAAUGGGCGCAAGCCUGAUCCAGCCAUGCCGCGUGAGUGAUGAAGGCCUUAGGGUUGUAAAGCUCUUUCAGUGGGGACGAUAAUGACGGUACCCACAGAAGAAGCCCCGGCUAACUUCGUGCCAGCAGCCGCGGUAAUACGAAGGGGGCUAGCGUUGUUCGGAUUUACUGGGCGUAAAGCGCACGUAGGCGGAUCGUUAAGUCGGGGGUGAAAUCCUGGAGCUCAACUCCAGAACUGCCUUCGAUACUGGCGAUCUUGAGUCCGGAAGAGGUGAGGGGAACUCCUAGUGUAGAGGUGGAAUUCGUAGAUAUUAGGAAGAACACCAGUGGCGAAGGCGGCUCACUGGUCCGGUACUGACGCUGAGGUGCGAAAGCGUGGGGAGCAAACAGGAUUAGAAACCCCAGUAGUCC
rnacentral:rRNA from 1 species